rnacentral:rRNA from 1 species
CCUACGGGAGGCAGCAGUGAGGAAUAUUGCUCAAUGGACGAAAGUCUGAAGCAGCGACGCCGCGUGAGGGAUGAAGUCCGUUUGGAUGUAAACCUCUUUUGCAGAAGAAGAAUGUUUCGAUUUCUCGAAAUUGACGGUAUUUUGCGAAUAAGCACCGGCUAACUACGUGCCAGCAGCCGCGGUAAUACGUAGGGUGCGAGCGUUGUCCGGAAUUACUGGGUGUAAAGGGUCCGCAGGCGGGCGAGUAAGUCUGUGGUGAAAUCUUACGGCUUAACCGUAAAUUGCCACGGAAACUGCUUGCCUUGAGUGUGAAAGAGGAAGAUGGAAUUCAUGGUGUAGCAGUGAAAUGCGUAGAUAUCAUGAAGAACACCGGUAGCGAAGGCGAUCUUCUGGUUCACAACUGACGCUCAGGGACGAAAGCGUGGGGAGCAAAACGAGGAUUAGACUACCCGUGGUACGUCCGACCGACCCGUAACCCUAACGUAGGUAGUACUACGUACGUAGUCGGUAGUACGAACGUAAGUUACGGUUGUUCGUGUAG